UACAGAGGGGGCAAGCGUUGGUCGGAAUUACUGGGCUUAAAGGGCGUGUAGGCGGCCACCUAAGUCAGUCGUGAAAUCCCUCGGCUCAACCGGGGAACUGCGUCUGAUACUGGGCGGCUUGAAUUCGGGAGAGGGAUGCGGAAUUCCAGGUGCAGCGGUGAAAUGCGUAGAUAUCUGGAGGAACACCGGUGGCGAAGGCGGCAUCCUGGACCGAGAUUGACGCUGAGACACGAAAGCCAGGGGAGCAAACGGG
rnacentral:rRNA from 1 species